ensembl:lncRNA
GGGCGGUGCGGGGGGCUGCUCUGGGUCUUAGCUGAGGCAUGUGAGAUACUUGGUUGCAGCAUGUGAACUCCAAUUUCCUGACUAGGCAUGGAACCUGGCCCGGUGUUGGGAGCCUGAAGUCAGCCUCUGGACCACCAGGGAAGUCCCUCCCCAGGGAGCCUUCACUGAUUCCCCCUUUCUGUCACCUCCACACACAUCCAUGAGCCUGACCCAGUUGUAUGUUCCUCCCAUGGGCUCCUGCAGCACCUGACAAAGGAACAGAUCUGCAAACACAGGACCCGCUGUCACAUCACGGAAGGAGUUAGAUUACUAGGCUGGUCGACGACGGGGGCCUUCAGAACCCCGGUGAUUGUCUUCAUGUCUGUAGCCCAGCAUUUCUAGAUUCUGCGACGACGUCCUCAGACUUCUUAAUGUCCUGCUUUGUAACCCCCGUCGGGCCUCGUGAAUGGUGGUGAAGAUAACGUGACUGCGGAGCGCAGGGUCGCCCCGGGAGGGGCUGGGGGCCUGGCC